GAAGUGGUAGCUCAGUGUUUAAGACAUUGGACCACUGAUCAGAAGGUUAUGAGUUCAAAUCCCACCACUACU